UCUCAGUAUAAAACAAUCAUAGCUGGUAACGUAUAGGGCACAUAAAUCCAGUGGAAGGAGUAGAGGCAGGCGGCCGGGUUUUUAGGUGGAAGAGGAGACAAGAGGAAGAGAGGGUUCGGCGGGGGUACGGCUAAGUCGGGGUUGGACGUCGGAGGAAGAGAGGGAUCGGCGGGGUACGGCUAAGUCGGGGUUGGACGUCGUACGUUCCUCGUUCCCCCUUGAUCUAGCCGGGGUUGUCCCGUUCUCGGGGCACGUGGUCUAGAUAGUAGGGGUAGCACCCUCGUCGGUACCGGAGGGACUUAGGAAAACAGGUAGGUUUCCUAGACGCGGCUGCUCGUGUCCCGCUCCAGGACCACGUGGCCUAGGCAGCGGGGGGUGAUGUCCUCCUCGGUACCGUAGGCCAAGUGGCACGCAAGACGGGAAGAGGUUCUUACCUAGAUGCGGCUGCUGGGGUAUGACGGGUUCCUUUGACUCUCUACACGUAGAUGUGUUAUAUAAACGAGUCGAGUAGUACCAGAGUUGAUUCAGCACUUCGACGAACAAACUGGUUAACUGGUUGUACAUCUAGAACCGCGUGCUGUCUCAAUGGCACACCACACUGGCCCCGAAGAAGGUGAUACUGGGGAGGACGGGACGGAGAAGCCACCGGGGCUAAGAAGAAGGUGAGACCCUAUCGAGCACCUAUACCAUGUAGUAGUAGUGGCUACUUCUCCUCUUCCCCAAAUAGCACAGUCCUUUCCACACACCACCAUCCGAACCAGAGGCCGGAGCCGUAGAAGGCAACCGGGGCCACGGCGCGCCGACUCCGCUACAACAAACCGUAGUCGAUGUUUUAUCGGUACCACUCGAGGAGAGGUAGCGGACGAUUAAGUACAUUAUAAGUGUACUACAAGUUCUAAGAGAAUACAUACCAAAAUCUGUAAAUCUUCACCCCAAGUCACUCCGAUUUUUUGUAAGUCAAUAAACAUGCACGGUUAAGUUCAUUGACAAAAAAACUCUACCGACACUACAAGGAAAAGAAAAACUGGACAACAAAAAAACGUGGAAACUACUAGAAAAUGUAGAUAUCACCAAAUACGUGACAUUACCAAUUAACUGACGUUGUAUUGUAUUACAUCAACAUAACAUUUUCAUUGAAUCGUUCACCCUAUGGUAUGUACAAGGACGUAACAAACAGUUCACACCAAAAAUAAAGUCUUCCGUUGUCUCUCCGUACUGUGCGUACGAAACGACGUUUUCAAGUUUUUAACACAGAAGAAGUACGCUAAUUUGAAUCCUUAACUCUCCGAUAAAAGAUCUGUGUACGUCAAAGUAAAGCUCGAACCAACUGAAAGCUCUCCAAACUUUUGUACGUAACAUUGAGUCUAUCUAGUAUAUCGUGACAUGAAUAAAAGACCAUAAAACAUAUUUGUCUAUUUAUAAAACAAGAAUAAAAGUCAAUAAAUGUCCAAUAACGGCUGUACUCCAGAUAUACAGGUACCAACAACACGAUGACAAUUAUACUACGUCUAAAAACACAAGAAUGCAUUCGACGGAUUAAAAAUAUAAAAUAGAUUCACGGCUUGAACACUAAGAAUAUGAGUCGGAGUACAAAACACUCGGUCUACAAGGAGAAAUUCUGGACCUACCCGUUGGACAACGUUCACGAGUUCCCCACAAGUCUCGUAUAUGAAGAGUUCCGGUUGUAACACUACGUACACAUCAAUCAAAUCUUCACAAAACCAUAUCGUUGUGCUCGAUUAUACAUCAAACCAGACAUCAAGUAACAUAUACGUUCAGCUUAACAGGAUUGGUAAAAUACUUUGAAUUAGAUCGAAAAAUAACCUAACGACCCACCAUACUUAUACAACAUACUACUUAUUAAAACUUAAUACCAACCAUAUUUAGGUUUAAACCGUACACAAUGAUCCCGUUAUACCG
rnacentral:rRNA from 1 species